GAUGAACGCUGGCGGCGUGCCUAAUACAUGCAAGUCGAGCGAACGGACGAGAAGCUUGCUUCUCUGAUGUUAGCGGCGGACGGGUGAGUAACACGUGGAUAACCUACCUAUAAGACUGGGAUAACUUCGGGAAACCGGAGCUAAUACCGGAUAAUAUUUUGAACCGCAUGGUUCAAAAGUGAAAGACGGUCUUGCUGUCACUUAUAGAUGGAUCCGCGCUGCAUUAGCUAGUUGGUAAGGUAACGGCUUACCAAGGCAACGAUGCAUAGCCGACCUGAGAGAGUGACCGGCCACACUGGAACUGAGACACGGUCCAUACUCCUACGGGAGGCAGCAGUAGCGAAUCUUCCGCAAUGGGCGAAAGCCUGACGGAGCAACGCCGCGUGAGUGAUGAAGGUCUUCGGAUCGUAAAACUCUGUUAUUAGGGAAGAACAUAUGUGUAAGUAACUGUGCACAUCUUGACGGUACCUAAUCAGAAAGCCACGGCUAACUACGUG
rnacentral:rRNA from 1 species